rnacentral:rRNA from 1 species
UCCAGACUUUGAUUAUGGCUCAGGACGAACGCUGGCGGCGUGCCUAAUACAUGCAAGUCGAACGAACUCUGGUAUUGAUUGGUGCUUGCAUCAUGAUUUACAUUUGAGUGAGUGGCGAACUGGUGAGUAACACGUGGGAAACCUGCCCAGAAGCGGGGGAUAACACCUGGAAACAGAUGCUAAUACCGCAUAACAACUUGGACCGCAUGGUCCGAGUUUGAAAGAUGGCUUCGGCUAUCACUUUUGGAUGGUCCCGCGGCGUAUUAGCUAGAUGGUGGGGUAACGGCUCACCAUGGCAAUGAUACGUAGCCGACCUGAGAGGGUAAUCGGCCACAUUGGGACUGAGACACGGCCCAAACUCCUACGGGAGGCAGCAGUAGGGAAUCUUCCACAAUGGACGAAAGUCUGAUGGAGCAACGCCGCGUGAGUGAAGAAGGGUUUCGGCUCGUAAAACUCUGUUGUUAAAGAAGAACAUAUCUGAGAGUAACUGUUCAGGUAUUGACGGUAUUUAACCAGAAAGCCACGGCUAACUACGUGCCAGCAGCCGCGGUAAUACGUAGGUGGCAAGCGUUGUCCGGAUUUAUUGGGCGUAAAGCGAGCGCAGGCGGUUUUUUAAGUCUGAUGUGAAAGCCUUCGGCUCAACCGAAGAAGUGCAUCGGAAACUGGGAAACUUGAGUGCAGAAGAGGACAGUGGAACUCCAUGUGUAGCGGUGAAAUGCGUAGAUAUAUGGAAGAACACCAGUGGCGAAGGCGGCUGUCUGGUCUGUAACUGACGCUGAGGCUCGAAAGUAUGGGUAGCAAACAGGAUUAGAUACCCUGGUAGUCCAUACCGUAAACGAUGAAUGCUAAGUGUUGGAGGGUUUCCGCCCUUCAGUGCUGCAGCUAACGCAUUAAGCAUUCCGCCUGGGGAGUACGGCCGCAAGGCUGAAACUCAAAGGAAUUGACGGGGGCCCGCACAAGCGGUGGAGCAUGUGGUUUAAUUCGAAGCUACGCGAAGAACCUUACCAGGUCUUGACAUACUAUGCAAAUCUAAGAGAUUAGACGUUCCCUUCGGGGACAUGGAUACAGGUGGUGCAUGGUUGUCGUCAGCUCGUGUCGUGAGAUGUUGGGUUAAGUCCCGCAACGAGCGCAACCCUUAUUAUCAGUUGCCAGCAUUAAGUUGGGCACUCUGGUGAGACUGCCGGUGACAAACCGGAGGAAGGUGGGGAUGACGUCAAAUCAUCAUGCCCCUUAUGACCUGGGCUACACACGUGCUACAAUGGAUGGUACAACGAGUUGCGAACUCGCGAGAGUAAGCUAAUCUCUUAAAGCCAUUCUCAGUUCGGAUUGUAGGCUGCAACUCGCCUACAUGAAGUCGGAAUCGCUAGUAAUCGCGGAUCAGCAUGCCGCGGUGAAUACGUUCCCGGGCCUUGUACACACCGCCCGUCACACCAUGAGAGUUUGUAACACCCAAAGUCGGUGGGGUAACCUUUUAGGAACCAGCCGCCUAAGGUGGGACAGAUGAUUAGGGUGAAGUCGUAACAAGCUAGCCGUA